rnacentral:rRNA from 1 species
GUGGGGAAUAUUGGACAAUGGGCGAAAGCCUGAUCCAGCCAUGCCGCGUGAGUGAUGAAGGCCUUAGGGUUGUAAAGCUCUUUCAGUAGGGAAGAUAAUGACGGUACCUACAGAAGAAGCCCCGGCUAACUUCGUGCCAGCAGCCGCGGUAAUACGAAGGGGGCUAGCGUUGUUCGGAUUUACUGGGCGUAAAGCGCACGUAGGCGGAUUGGUCAGUUAGAGGUGAAAUCCUGGAACUCAACUCCAGAACUGCCUUUAAUACUGCCAGUCUAGAGUCCAGAAGAGGUGAGUGGAGCUCCUAGUGUAGAGGUGGAAUUCGUAGAUAUUAGGAAGAACACCAGUGGCGAAGGCGGCUCACUGGUCUGGUACUGACGCUGAGGUGCGAAAGCGUGGGGAGCAAACAGGAUUAGAAACCCGUGUAGUCC